UACGAGGGGUCCUAGCGUUGUUCGGAAUCAUUGGGCGUAAAGGGUGUGUAGGUGGCCAUUCAAGUCAGUUGUGAAAUCCCCGGGCUCAACCCGGGAAGUGCUUCUGAUACUGUUUGGCUUGAGUACUGGAGAGGAUAGUAGAAUUCCUGGUGUAGUGGUGAAAUACGUAGAUAUCGGGAGGAACACCAGUGGCGAAGGCGACUACCUGGCCUGUUCUUGACGCUGAGGCGCGAAAGCUAGGGGAGCAAACGGGG
rnacentral:rRNA from 1 species